GGGGGUUAGUGGGUAGGAGUACCCCUCUGUUGACAGCACUUUUCGGGCUGUGACUGUGCCUUGAGCCAGCCUUUGUUUCCAGCGUGUCUUUGCAAUUUCUCUAUCAAUUGUGGCUACUUACUAAGCACUUGCAGGCAUUUCUGGAAACCUCGCAUCUGUUUUUUGACUCAUUCACGUGGUAAUUAAAUCAUCUUGUGCUGGCUUUGGGGCUUUACAGAAACCUGAAGUGUUGGGAGCUGCCUGUGCAUCAGAAUUAGUACUGGGCAAGCCUUCUGGAGUUCACCCACGCUCUCUCCAUGGGCUCCUAACCCACAGUGCUGAACUUUCACUGGGAGUCUCAAUCGCCCGGCCCACAGGGUUCGUUGGUCUAAGAGGACACCCAGGCAUGGGUGAGUUUUAUGAGAUCCCCUGGUGACUCUCAAGUGCAUCCUGGCUGGAGAACUGAUAUAAACCAAGGAAGGACAGAAUCCCACCUGAGCAGAAAGUGAGGAAUGAGAGCGUCUUGCAGGGGGUGGCCAUGUGGCAGAGCUGGUCAACAGAAUGCAAGGCAGAGUCCGCUGGCACGUGUUUCUGGGAAGCCUUUUUUUUCCUGUUAGAAGAGACGUAGAAGACCACCACCUCUUCCCCUUCUUGCCUUCAGUGGAGAUGUGGUGCCUGGAACACAUGCAGCUGUCUUGCAACCUUGAGGGUCGGGAAGAUUCCCCUGCAGGAGGAAAUGGCAACCCACCUCAGUAUUCUUGCCUGGAGAAUCCCAUGGACAGAGGAGCCUGGCAGGCUACAGUCCAUAGAGUCGCCAAGAGUCAGACACACCUGAAGUGACUUAACAGAUUAUGCAUAUAAGGGAUGCCAUAUGAUAUUUCUCCUUCUCUGUCUGAUGUACUUCACUCAGUAUGACAAUUUCUAGGAACGUCCAUGUUGCUGCAGAUGGCAUUAUUUCAUUCUUUUUGAUGGCUGAGUAAUGUUCCAUUGUAUAUAUAUACCACAUCUCUCUCCAUUUCUCUGUCGAUGGUCAACAGACAGAGUGCUUCCGUGUCUUUGAUAUUGUAAACAGUGCUGCAAUGAAUAUUAGAGUGCAUGUACACUUUUGAAUCAUGUUUUUCUCUGGGUAUAUCC
ensembl:lncRNA